ACGGGAGGCAGCAGCUAAGAAUAUUCCGCAAUGGACGAAAGUCUGACGGAGCGACGCCGCGUGGAUGAUGAAGGUCGGAAGAUUGUAAAAUCCUUUUAUGACUGAGGAAUAAGUGAAGUGAGAGAAACGCUUCAUGGUGACUGUAGGUCAUGAAUAAGCAACGGCUAAUUACGUGCCAGCAGCCGCGGUAACACGUAAGUUGCGAGCGUUGUUCGGAAUUAUUGGGCGUAAAGGGCAUGUAGGCGGUUUUGCAAGGUUGGGGUGAAAUCCCGGAGCUCAACUCCGGAAGUGCGUUGAGAACUGCAUAACUAGAGUCACUGAGGGGCAAUCAGAAUUCCAGGUGUAGGGGUGAAAUCUGUAGAUAUCUGGAAGAAUACCAAUGGCGAAGGCAGGUUACCAGCAGAUGACUGACGCUGAGGUGCGAAGGUGCGGGGAGCAAACAGGAUUAGAUACCCUGGUA
rnacentral:rRNA from 1 species